AGUGAGUGGGUGACGUAGACGUCACUCAUUGGUUAUGUCCAAUUAGGAAAAGCGUAUUUAAAUAGGCUGUGUUGUGAUGUAAUCGGUUGUAACAUCCGCUCUAUUGUGUUGUCAUUCCGGCUCUACGUGCUGCAGGAAAAAGACUGGGAGUUAGCAAGCAAAUCAGUGGGACCUUUUGAUACAGGAGCCGAUAGGAGGGAGUUGGCUGGCUGUUUAUUCAGGUGAGUGGCGUUCACGUGGGCUUAAUGUUGGUGUGCGUGCGUUUAUAAUGUGUAUCAUUGCAGCGUUUUGUGGCGCGGGUUGUUAGUGGCGUCCGUGCAGCAGCUGCAGUUCACCUAAGUGAACAGAAUUAUCAUCUUCGGCGUCCGUGCACCAGUUAUAGUUCACCGAGGUUGGGCAUGACGUGCUGCAAUAUGUGGCAGUAGGGUGAGCGGCCCGGCCAGCGCUGUUGUCUCGCUUGGAUUUUUGAUUUUCUUUUCUUUUGUUUCCAGUUAAUCUGGUUUGUUGUCUGUCUGAAAGGUGAAAUGGUGAAUUGAUGUGUAGUUUUCUUUUUUUUCUCUUGUCUUUAAGAUAUUUUGUCUGGUCGUUGUUGUAUGUGUUUGUGACUUAAGUUGAGUUAUUCUUUUGGUUUUUGUUAAAGACUAAAAGGAGUUAUUCUCCUGUGUUCGUAUAUCCAUUAUUGUGAUUUAUUUCUUUAUGUGAUUUUCAUGACAUUAUUGGGGACGCUGGAUUUUCGGGCUGUGUAAGUCCAGCUAACUGUUCCAUUCUGAACCCAUUUAUUGUUUUGUAUUAGUCUACACCGCUAGUGGUGUAAAAUUGUUUAUUGUAUAUUUGUAUUCAUUAUUUUCUUGUAUUUCCAUACAGGAGCUGAGGGCCACUUACGAGGGUGUCCUGGGGCUGUGGUAGUGGGGUCUCCUGUGCACUUGAGUGCUUUACUUUCACUUGUGUGGUGUGGUGAGGUGUGAGUAUGAAGU